GAUGAACGCUAGCUACAGGCUUAACACAUGCAAGUCGAGGGACCGGCGCACGGGUGAGUAACACGUAUCCAACCUGCCCUUUACUCGGGGAUAGCCUUUCGAAAGAAAGAUUAAUACCCGAUAUAAAGGAUGGGGAUGCGUUGCAUUAGGUUGUUGGUGAGGUAACGGCUCACCAAGCCUUCGAUGGAUAGGGGUUCGGAGAGGAAGGUCCCCCACAAUGGAACGGAGACACGGUCCAAAAUCCUACGAGAGGCAGCAGUGAGGAAUAAUGGUCAAUGGGCGCUGGCCUGAACCAGCCAAGUAGCGUGAAGGAGGAAGGCUUAUGGGGCGUAAAAUUCUUUUAUAUAAGAAAAGGUAUUAGAUGAAUAAGGAUCGGCUAACUCCGUGCCAGCAGCCGCGGUAAUAC
rnacentral:rRNA from 1 species